UACAGAGGUCUCAAGCGUUGUUCGGAUUCAUUGGGCGUAAAGAGCUCGUAGGCGGUGUGUCGCGUCGGCCGUGAAAACCUGCGGCUUAACUGUGGGCUUGCGGUGGAUACGGGCAGACUUGAGUUCGGUAGGGGAGACUGGAAUUCCUGGUGUAGCGGUGAAAUGCGCAGAUAUCAGGAGGAACACCGAUGGCGAAGGCAGCUCACUGGGACGGUACUGGACGCUGAGGCACGAAAGCGUGGGGAGCAAACAGG
rnacentral:rRNA from 1 species